rnacentral:rRNA from 1 species
AACGAACGCUGGCGGCAUGCCUAACACAUGCAAGUCGAACGAAGCCUUCGGGCUUAGUGGCGCACGGGUGCGUAACGCGUGGGAAUCUGCCCUUGGGUUCGGAAUAACAGUUAGAAAUGACUGCUAAUACCGAAUGAUGUCUUCGGACCAAAGAUUUAUCGCCCAAGGAUGAGCCCGCGUCGGAUUAGCUAGUUGGUGAGGUAAAGGCUCACCAAGGCGACGAUCCGUAGCUGGUCUGAGAGGAUGAUCAGCCACACUGGGACUGAGACACGGCCCAGACUCCUACGGAGGCAGCAGUGGGGAAUAUUGGACAAUGGGCGAAAGCCUGAUCCAGCAAUGCCGCGUGAGUGAUGAAGGCCUUAGGGUUGUAAAGCUCUUUUACCCGGGAUGAUAAUGACAGUACCGGGAGAAUAAGCCCCGGCUAACUCCGUGCCAGCAGCCGCGUAAU